GGAGGCGGAUGCAGUCCGGUGGCUGCCCCGGGCCUCAAACCCGCGUGAGGGGCGAUUCUGAUCGUCCUUGGUGUGUUCGAUUCGCACACGCCUCC
rnacentral:tRNA from 1 species